UACGGAGGGGGCUAGCGUUGUUCGGAAUUACUGGGCGUAAAGCGCGUGUAGGCGGCCCUGCAAGUCGGAUGUGAAAUCCCACGGCUCAACCGUGGAAGUGCAUUCGAAACUGCAGGGCUAGAGUCCUGGAGAGGAAGGUGGAAUGCUUGGUGUAGAGGUGAAAUUCGUAGAUAUCAAGCGGAACACCGGUGGCGAAGGCGGCCUUCUGGACAGUGACUGACGCUGAGACGCGAAAGCGUGGGGAGCAAACAGG
rnacentral:rRNA from 1 species